rnacentral:rRNA from 1 species
CCUACGGGCGGCAGCAGUGGGGAAUAUUGGACAAUGGGCGAAAGCCUGAUCCAGCCAUGCCGCGUGUGUGAAGAAGGCCUUCGGGUUGUAAAGCACUUUCAGUGGGGAAGAAAGCCUUGGGGCUAAUACCCUCGAGGAAGGACAUCACCCACAGAAGAAGCACCGGCUAACUCCGUGCCAGCAGCCGCGGUAAUACGGAGGGUGCGAGCGUUAAUCGGAAUUACUGGGCGUAAAGCGCGCGUAGGCGGUCUGAUAAGCCGGUUGUGAAAGCCCCGGGCUCAACCUGGGAACGGCAUCCGGAACUGUGAGGCUAGAGUGCAGGAGAGGAAGGUAGAAUUCCCGGUGUAGCGGUGAAAUGCGUAGAGAUCGGGAGGAAUACCAGUGGCGAAGGCGGCCUUCUGGACUGACACUGACGCUGAGGUGCGAAAGCGUGGGUAGCAAACAGGAUUAGAUACCCUGGUAGUC